AUGAACGCUAGCUACAGGCUUAACACAUGCAAGUCGAGGGGCAGCAUGGUCUUAGCUUGCUAAGGCCGAUGGCGACCGGCGCACGGGUGAGUAACACGUAUCCAACCUGCCGUCUACUCUUGGACAGCCUUCUGAAAGGAAGAUUAAUAUAAGAUGGCAUCAUGAGUUCACAUGUUCACAUGAUUAAAGGUAUUCCGGUAGACGAUGGGGAUGCGUUCCAUUAGAUAGUAGGCGGGGUAACGGCCCACCUAGUCUUCGAUGGAUAGGGGUUCUGAGAGGAAGGUCCCCCACAUUGGAACUGAGACACGGUCCAAACUCCUACGGGAGGCAGCAGUGAGGAAUAGUGGGCAAGGGGCGAGAGCCUGAACCAGCCAAGUAGCGUGAAGGAUGACUGCCCUAUGGGUUGUAAACUUCUUUUAUAAAGGAAUAAAGUCGGGUAUGUAUACCCGUUUGCAUGUACUUUAUGAAUAAGGAUCGGCUAACUCCGAG
rnacentral:rRNA from 1 species